UUUUAAUAUACAAACAUAGUAUUAAAUUUUAUCAGAUCUUAUUACAAUCCAUUACAAGUGUGGAUAUGGCACUCUCCUAUCGGAUUUAUUUUUUGAAAAAAAAAACAAAUAUCACAAGUUGAGUAGGCAGUGGUGACAACAGUUAAUUUCAUUUUUAAAUUCUAUUCUUAUUAGAAAAAAUCAAACAUCCACCAUCAUAACUAAGAAAAUAGCGCAAGCCUCAAGACUCAAAUUCUCGAAACGAGUUUUCAGUCCA
rnacentral:lncRNA from 1 species